rnacentral:rRNA from 1 species
UACGUAGGGUGCAAGCGUUGUCCGGAAUUAUUGGGCGUAAAGAGCUCGUAGGCGGUCUGUCGCGUCGGAUGUGAAAAUCCAGGGCUUAACCCUGGGCCUGCAUUCGAUACGGGCAGACUAGAGUUCGGUAGGGGAGACUGGAAUUCCUGGUGUAGCGGUGAAAUGCGUAGAUAUCGUAAGGAAGACCAGUGGCGAAGGCGGGUCUCUGGACAGUUCCUGACGCUGAGGCACGAAGGUCAGGGGAGCAAACGGG